rnacentral:rRNA from 1 species
GAGUUUGAUCUUGGCUCAGGACGAACGCUGGCGGCGUGCUUAACACAUGCAAGUCGAGCGGAAAGGCCCUUUCGGGGGUACUCGAGCGGCGAACGGGUGAGUAACACGUGAGUAACCUGCCCCUGACUUCGGGAUAAGCCUGGGAAACCGGGUCUAAUACCGGAUAGGACCGGGUGCGGCAUCGCAUCGGGUGGAAAGUUUUUUCGGUCGGGGAUGGGCUCGCGGCCUAUCAGCUUGUUGGUGGGGUGGUGGCCUACCAAGGCGACGACGGGUAGCCGGCCUGAGAGGGCGACCGGCCACACUGGGACUGAGACACGGCCCAGACUCCUACGGGAGGCAGCAGUGGGGAAUAUUGCGCAAUGGGCGGAAGCCUGACGCAGCGACGCCGCGUGGGGGAUGACGGCCUUCGGUUGU